GUGCACCUACGGGGCGCAGCAGUAGGGAAUCUUCCACAAUGGACGAAAGUCUGAUGGAGCAACGCCGCGUGAGUGAAGAAGGGUUUCGGCUCGUAAAGCUCUGUUGGUAGUGAAGAAAGAUAGAGGUAGUAACUGGCCUUUAUUUUACGGUAAUUACUUAGAAAGUCACGGCUAACUACGUGCCAGCAGCCGCGGUAAUACGUAGGUGGCAAGCGUUUUCCGGAUUUAUUUGGCGUAAAGCGAGUUCAGGCGGGUCAAUA
rnacentral:rRNA from 1 species